UACGUAGGGGGCAAGCGUUGUCCGGAAUCAUUGGGCGUAAAGCGCGCGUAGGCGGUCCGAUAAGUCCGCUGUGAAAGUCGAGGGCUCAACCCUCGAAUGCCGGUGGAUACUGUCGGGCUUGAGUACGGGAGAGGCGAGUGGAAUUCCUGGUGUAGCGGUGAAAUGCGCAGAUAUCAGGAGGAACACCGAUUGCGAAGGCAGCUCGCUGGAACGUUACUGACGCUGAGACGCGAAAGCGUGGGGAGCAAACAGG
rnacentral:rRNA from 1 species